rnacentral:rRNA from 1 species
UUUUAAUGAAGAUUAAUUAAUGAGAGAUUAGAUGUAAACAUUAAAUUUAAAUAGUUUGGCGGUAUUUUAUAUAGUUAGAGGAAUUUGUCGAUUAAAUGAUAGUCCACGAGUGGGGUGUCCUAAGAUAGUUUUUAUGUAUUGUUGUAUGAAAAUUAUUUUAAAAGAAUAAUAAUUAGAAUAUUUAAUUUAAUUAGAAUUCAAAUCAAAAUGUAGAAUUUUUAGGUUUAGAUGAAUUACAGUUUGUUAAUAGAGGUUUUAUUUUUUUAAUAAGAUAGAAGUAGAAGGAUUUAAUAGUAAAUUUAAAAAAAUAUUUAAAUUGAAAUGUUAAUUGGAAUAUG